CACCCCCUCACGCUCUUUAAAUUAGCCAAUCAGAAUUAGUUUAGCCUGUGCAGUCUAACCCUAGCCAAUAGGGAAAGGAUACAGCAGCAGGGGCCAUGUGCGUCAGGGAUAAGAACCCCUUCCCCUCCCUGGUCCAAGUGUGCACUCACCAUUGCCCCAUCUGUAAGGGCGCACCCUUCUAUAGAAGUACAUUGACUUGCUGAAAAUUAAAAAGAAAAUUUUAUAUUCGAGUGCUAUUUCUUUUGCAGCACCGAAACUUUAUUUAUAACAAUUUGGGGGCUCCCUCGUGAUACAUUCCCCUUCCGGGCAGUCUCUGGUUCUCUCUGGUGAGGACGUGCGCCCCGCCGCCUUGUGGGGGCCUCAGGGGUGAGAAAUCAGGACCCACCCAGUUCCAGGAAUAACCCGAGCUCUCAGCAACGCAGAAAGAAACUGGCCAGCAACCUAGCUUAAAGGAUCCUCACAUACUGCAGAGGUGACUCUGUGCACAGACCAAGGAAGGAGAAGCCGCGGGAGCCGAGACAGACUCUCACUAUGUUGCUCAGGCUGGUGUCAAACUCCUGGGCUCAAGCGAUGCUCCUGCCUUGGCCACCGAAAGUGCUGGGAUUACAGGUGAGAGCCACUGUGUUUGACCAAACAUUAUUUUUUUAAAGAACCAGCAGCACGGUUAACCAGACACCCCUUUCUGAUUAAAUGUGCAAUACACAAAACGCUUUCAUAAAUAGUCGUGUAAUAAUUUGCUUAUAGAGCUCUAUGCAAAUUAUUUUUCAAAGUUAUGUCAUUGAGUUUUUUAGGGGGAUAACUCAUGAUAACCAAAUGAAUUUAGACUUAAUUAAGUACAUGGAUUCUAUAGUAGUCACAACGUUGUGAGAGUAAACGUUUUUUUUAAAGGCAAGUAGAUAAUUUGCAGUUGUGUACAUAUGUGCUCCCAGGCUAAUUUUCUUUUCUUUCUUUUCUUUUUUUUGAGACAGAGUCUCACUCCGUCACUCAGGCUGAAGUGCAGUGGUGGGAGCUUGGCUCACUGCAACCCCCGCCUCCCAGGUUCAAGCAAUUCUCUUGCCCCAGCCUCCCGAGUAGCUGGAUUUACAGGCGCAUGCCACCAUGCCCGGCUAAUUUUUUUGUACGUUUAGUAGACACGGGGUUUCGCUAUGUUGGCCAGGCUGGUCUUGAACUCCUGAUCUCAAGUGAUCUGCCCACCUCAGCCUCCCAAAGUGCUGGGAUUACAGGCGUGAGCCACUGCGCCUGGCCGGAAACAACUAUAUUUUAAAAGAAGUAGAAGAUUCAAGUGGUACCAACAAUGCUUACUUUUUCCAGAAAAAUAGAUGUGGGAUUUGAGCUUUGGAAGGUGGCUCUGGUGUGUUGUAGGUGGUGGGCACCUCCAGCUCCUGCUGCUCUUGCAAACUCCAGUUUCCAGAUGGGCCUCACUUCUGCUGCUCCCUGUGGGAAACUCCUCCAGUUUUAUCGUCAGUCAGUUUCCUAAUUUUUUUUUUUUUGUAGUCUUGCUGUGUCACCCAGGCUGGAGUGUAAUGGUGCAAUCUCGGGUCACUGCAACUUCAAGCGAUUCUCCUGCCUCAGCCUCCUGAGUAGCUGGGAUUACAGGCAUGUGCCAUUAUGCCCAGCUAAUUUUUGUACUUUUAGUAGAGACGCAGUUUCACCAUGUUGGCCAGGCUGGCCUUGAACUCCUGACCUCAAGUGAUGCAUCCACCUUGGCCUCCCAAAGGGCUGAAAUUACAGGUGUGAGCCACCUCGCACGGCCAGUUCCCUAUUUUUAUCAGUGCACUUUACCAUUUAUCUACUCAAUUCCUCACCCAUAUGCAAGGCUGCCCUUUUCUGAAGGAUGCUAGUGGUGAAUCCAUUGAAAAAUCCACUGAUUGUGUUCCCCUAGGGCCUCUUCAAGAUGGAAAGAUUCAGGUGGGGCACGGUGGCUCACACCUGUAAUCUCAGCACUUUGGGAGGCCGAGGUGGGCGGAUCACCUGAGGUCAGGAGUUCAAGACCAGCCUGGCCAACAUGACAAAAUCCGUCUCUACUAAAAAUACAAAAAUUAGCCGGGGUGGUGGCUUGUGCCUGUAAUCCCAGCUACUCAGGAGGCUGAGGGAGGAGAAUCGCUUGAACUCAGGAGGCAGAGGUUGCAGUGAGCCAAGAUUGUGCCACUACACACCAUCCUGGGUGACAGAGUGAGACUCUGUCUCAAAAAAAAAAAGCCAGGUGCAGUGGCUCACGCCUGUAAUCCUAGCACUUUGGAGACCGAGGCAGGUGGAUUGCCUGAGCUCAGGAGUUUGAGACCAGCCUGGCCAACAUGGUGAAACCCCGUCUCUACUAAAAUACAAAAAAAUUAGCUGGGCGUGGCAGCAUGUACCUGUAGUCCCAGCUACUCAGGAGGCUCAGGAAGGAGAAUUGCUAGAACCUGGGAGGUGGAGGUUGCACUGAGCCAAGAUUGCACCGCUGUACUCCAGCCUGGGUGACAGAGUGAGACUCUAUCUGGAAAAAAAAAAAAAAAAAAAAAAAAGAUUCUACAGUGAGCACAAAGGUGAAACUCACCUUGAAUGCUUUUACCAAUUGAGUGUGGAUGAACUAAUUCAGAGUAUUGCGGGCCCCUGCUGCAGCAAACACAGAGCUCCCAAAAUGCUCAGGCUAUUGGGAGGCAACUGCCUUGUCAGGGUGGCCAAUGGUUUCCCCAUUGCCAAAUCGGACAGUUAACUCCAGUCCUUGUCUGACUGGAGGCCUGCAGAUCACUGCCUCCUCUGUAACGCUCUUUACCCCCAACCCAGGGAUCCAAGAUGCCCUACUCUAGGAUCAUUUUCUCUGCCUCAUUCAUCACUCAGACUCCUUCAUUUGUUCCUUCUCUUCUCCCUCCUCUGAGUGCUGCAGAGCCCGGGUUUCCAUCCUCAGACCCCUGCCCUGCCUGCUCUCUGUCCCAAGGCAGCACUGCCAGCAUCCGAAAUAAAAAUCCAGCCCUCCUAUUCAUAGUGACAUCGAAUUUCAGAUCAACGACAAAGAGUUUUAUGGCAUAAGCAUGUCCCAAAUAUUGCAUGGCCCCAAAUAUUUACUUAGUUAAUAAGUAAAAAUUGCACAAGACAUACUUAUGCUAAAGAGUAUUGACUAUUUGUCUGAGUCCAAAUGUCUCUGGGCAUGCUGGGUUUCAUCAGGUAAUCCUGCCAUGAUUUCAGUUUCAAGGUGAUACCAUCUAUGGUGACUCUUCUGAAAAUGUUUAUCUCUAGCCUAGGUCUCUCUCCUGAACUGCAGACUCCUGCUGCCUCCAGCACAUCGCCACUUGGGUAAUGAAUAGGUGUCUCAACCUGAACAUGUCAAAAACAACACUCAUUUUUCCCCCCAAUUCCUUGCCGUUCUCACAGGUAGUCUCGUCCCCCCAGCUGCUCACCCACAAGCCUUGCACUCAGCCUUGACUCUGUUCUUCUCACACCCCAUAUCCAGUCUGCCAGGAGGUCCUUGGUCCUCCUGGGCUACACUAAUAGUGCCUCUUGCUGGUCACUGCAACCACCUCCCAUUCCUUUCCCUGCAUUGUCCUGUGCCUCACAUGGUUUUUUUCUCAACAUGCCAGCCAGAAUGACUCUUUGAAAACUUUCUCAUGCCAUGUCACUUUUCAGCCCAUCGCCCUGCAGCAGGUCCCCAUGUUACUCAGUGUAAAAGCCCAAGGUCCUUGCCCCAUCCUGCAAAGCCCCUGUGACUCUGUGGUCUCUGGAACCUUAACUCUUCCACUCUUCCUCCAGACCACUCCCUCUCCCGCAGCCUCCUGGGUGCUCCCACCAGCCAGCAUGCUCCUGCUGCGGAGCUGUGGCCCUGGCUCCUUCCUUCCUCCCGGAAUGCUCUUGGCUCCGGUGUGCAUCAUGGAGAUAGCUCCUGUCUGCCCCCAAAUCGCUGCUCAAACCUCACCUCAGUGAGGCCGGCGCUGACCUCAUCACUGACCUAUUCACCUUCCAAACUGCUCACCUCCCAGGACUCUGAUACUCCUUCCCAACUCUUUUUCAUUCUUCCAUAAAUAACAAUGUCUAACUUAUUAGGCAAUUUCUUCAUUAUAAUUGUCCUUUGUUUUCAGUCUCUUCUCACUAGAAAGGAAAGUCCAUAAUGCCCAGAAUCUUUGUUGGGUUCCCUGAAGAAUGCCAGGCUCCCGGAAGAGGGCCUGCCUCCCAGCAGGCACAUGUGUGUGGAAUGAAUGAAUGAAUGAAUGAAUGAGGCUUGUGCAAACUAACUGCUUGCAGGAAACACCUGCUCCUUCCUGGGCACUGGGUGAAAUCUUUCGUAGAAGUUAACCAUUGACUCUUCUCCCCACCAGCCUCCUCCGUCCCUCACAGUUAAAUGCAGCUGGAAGAGGGGUUGCCCUGUACCUCCAGCUAGGUGGACUCCCCAGGAAAGAGUGACAUCUCACCACUGAGCCACCUCAGCCUUUUCCAGAGACAAGCCUUCUCUAGGCCAAUCAUCAGUGUCACAGCUAUUUGUUCUUGGGAUUUGUGGCUCUAUAUUCACAUGUAAGAAGCCAAGGCACCCAUGGGGAGCCACAGGCACCAACAGAAUACACUGAAAUCAAUCUUGCUGCGACUGGGGCUACAAGCAUGGUUACUUGGCUCACCACAGGUAUUUUCUUUCUUUUUAAUUUAUUUAUUUAUUUAUUUAUUUUGAGACAGGGUCUUGCUCUGUCCCCCAGGCUGGAAUGCAGUGCUGCGAUCUCGGCUCACUGCAACUUCCACCUCCCAGCUUCAAGCAAUUCCCCUGCCUCAGUCUCCCAAGUAGCUGGAACUACUCCCGAGUAGCAGGUACACAUGACCGUGCCCUGGUAAUUUUUUUGUAUUUUUAGUAGAGACAGGGUUUUCCCAUGUUGGCCAGGCUGGUCUCGAACUCCUGACCUCAAGUGAUCCGCCCACCUCAGACUCCCAAAGUGCUGAGAUUACAGGCAUGAGCCCCUAUGCCUGACCAUCACAGGUAUUUUCUGAAGUUGUCAGUUUUAGUUCUGGAGGAUCCUUGGAAUGUCAUGUUUUGGGGGAUGAAAUAAGAGAGGAAAUUAUCAAGAUUGCUUGCUAAAGUGACUUGUGCAUCUGGACAAAAAAGAAAAUGCAAGGGAGACAAACCCCUGAAUCUACUUAGUGAGAAGGUGGAGCAGGGAAGGGAACAUGGUGCCCGAGGUAACAGGCUUUACAGUCUAACUUCCCCGGUGUUAGGUCCAGGUCUACUUACCAUUGUAGGAAUUCUCAGCCUCUCUGAGAACUUCUUAGGGUUAGGGCCUAACUGCCCUGGAGUUAGGUCCAGUUCUGCUUCUCCUUGAAGGAAGUUCUCAACCUCUCUGAGCCUCAGUUUCCUCUUCCAUAAAUCAGUGAUGCUAUAUCAAAGCAUAGCUUUGUGAAACACAAAAACAAAUGAAAUACGUAUGCGAUAUACUUAGCAUAUGUUUCUAUUUGUUCUUCCCGGAACAGGGUGAGUAUACAAUAAACUGCAGAGACUCUCAUUCUUUGGGAUUUAAUUCUUUGGGAUUUAAGCUGACUGCUGGGUUUUUGUGUUGUUUUUCAGCUUUAUUGAGGCAUAAUUGACAAAAAAGAAUUUGAUAUAUGAAUACAUUGUAAAAUGCUUACCACAACCAAGUUAGUUAAUAUAUCCAUCAUCUCACAUAAUUCCUAUUUUUGUGGUGAGAACGCUUAAGGUCUACUCUCAGCAAAUUUCAAGUAUAGAAUGCAUUAUUAACUGUAGUCACCAUGCUGUACGUCAGGUCUUCAGAACUUAUUCAUUUUUUAACUGAGUUUAUGCAUUUAGACAAACAUCUUCCCAUUUCCUAGAUGCUGGGUUCUAAGAAAACAAUGUAACAAUUGUCCCAAGAAAGAAGGAAAUUCAGGCCAGGUGUAGUGACUCAUGCCUGUAAUUCUAGCACUUUGGGAGGCAGAGGUGGGGGGAUCGAUUGAGCCCAGGGGUUUGAGAACAGCCUGGGCAAAAUAGCAAGAUCUUGUCUCUACAAAAAAAUAAAAACAAAAAAACAAAAAAAACUAGAAGAAUUAGCCAGGUAUGGUUAGCUGGGCGUGGUGGCGUGUGCCUGUUGUCCCAACUACUCGGGAGGCUGAGGUGGGAGGAUUGCUUGAACUCAGGAGUUUGAGACUGCAGUGAGCCUUCAUCUCAAGUAUCAAGUAUCAAAGGCUUGAUAAAAUAUACUUUUUACUGUUAAAAAGAAUACUAAAUUAUAUGACGUAUUGUUAUAAUAAGGAAAGGCGUCCAAACAGAUCCAGGUGAAAAAAAAAAACAGAAUAAUGGCAAAGGUUGUCUCAACAAAUGCAAACUAUUAUAGUGUAUGCCAGUCAUAUCACAUAGGCCAGGCUUACCUGUGACAGUGUUCAUGAAGCCCUUUUCAGAAACCAAAGCUAGAAUCAAUUUCAUUCCUGGGUAACCUGAAUAAAGAGAAAUACAUUUCAAAAUUAGUAUGGGACUGGGAGAGACUAAAAUCUGUUGUUUUGGAGGGAGAUCUAGAGUUUUCUCUUGGACAACAGAUGGAGAAGUUGGAGUGAAUAAUUUUUCUUUUUAGCUUUUUUAUUGAAAUCACAUGAAUACAAAAAAGGGCACAGACCAUAAGUGUACACAUAUCAAUGAAUUUCCCCAAAGUGCAUACAGCAUGUGAUGACAACCCCAAACAAGAAGGAGAAUAUUACAGCACCUCCGAAGUCCCCUUCCUACCCCUCCCACUCCCCACCCCACCUGCAUCUCCAAAGGUAACCACAGAGAUUUGUAACAUUAUCUUGACACAUAGACUCAUCGUCCCCAGUUUUAAACUUCUCUUGGAAUCAUAGAGUGAUAAUUUUUGGUGUCUAGCUUCUUUGGGUCCAAAUUAUAUUUGUGAUAUUUUUUCAUGUUGUUGCAUUUAGCUGAGUUUUAUUCAUUUUCAUUGCUGAGUAGUGUCUUAUAGCAUAAGUAUACCACAAUUUAUUUACUUGUUCUAGUUUUUAUGAAUAUCAGUUUGUUUGCAGUUGUUUGCACUCUGUCGCCCAGGCUGGAGUGCAGUGGCACGAUCUCAGCUUACCACAACCUCUGCUUCCUGGGUUCAAGCGAUUCUCCUGCGUCAGCCUCCCGAGUAGCUGGGAUUACAGGCAUGCGCCACAAUGCCCAGCUAAUUUUAUUUGUAUUUUUAGUAGAGAUGGGUUUUUGCCAUGUUGGCCAGGCUGGUCUUGAACUCCUGACCUCAAGUGAUCUGCCUGCUUUAGCCUCCCAAGUGCUGGGAUGACAGGCAUCAGCCAUAGAGCCUGGCCCAGUGCUAUUUAUAAUGGUGUGUGCUUAAAUGUGGAAGUGCCAGGUCACAGGUAUGCCUAUCUUCAACUUUAGGAGAACCCAUUGCAUGACUUUCCCACACAAGUUGCAUUCCUUUUCUUUGCUCCAGAAAUGUGAACUCCAGUUGCUUCAUAUUCCUGCCACAGCUGGUGUAUUUCAUCUUCUGUAUUUGAAUCAUUCUGAUGGAUGUGUUCAAGUGAGGUUGACCAUCUUUUCUAAAGUUUGCUGGUGGCUGGGUGCUGUGGCUCGUGCCUGUCAUCCCAGCUACUUGGGAGGCUGAGGCAGGAGAAUUGCUUGAAGCUAGGAGGUGGAGGUUGCAGUGAGUCGAGAUCACACCGCUGCACUCUAGCUUGGGUGACAGAGUGAGACUCCAUCUCCAAUAAAUAAAUAAAUAAAUAAGUAAAGAAUAAGAAUAGGUUUUACACAAUAAUAAAUGUAAAUGAUAAGAUAGAUAAACACUUUGAAAGACCUUAAACUUCAUAUGUAAGGUACAAAAAUUAAAAUUGAUGUUCAUCAAAAUUGUAAAAUUUUCAAAACAUUUUCAAGGCAUUAGCAAAGUGGUGACGAGUAUUGGUACAUUCAGUAGUGCAUGUAAUUAGUCACAAAACCCUCUUCUUCUGGGACUUCAUCUUAGAAAUUUAACCAAAAGAAGAAAAAUGUGUGUGUUGUCAUGGUGGUAUACUAUAGAGGUAAAGAAUAUGAUCUUCUGAGUUAGGCACACUUGACUUGAAAUCCUGCCUCUGAUAUUUACUAGCUAACCUGGAGGAAGUGACUAAACAAAGCUAAGCUUCAGGUCCUCAUUUAUAAAAUAGAAAAAAAAAUAUAUCUGACACAAAGUGCUUAGUGCCCAGUACAUAGAAGCAAGUGCCAUUGAAGAAUGAGCCGCAGUAGGUGAAGGCUGGCCACGCGCAAUAUCCCACAGGAGGACAAUUAAAAAAAAUACUAUAUGCUAAGUAGGUAGAGUACUUGAAAAACAUCGAGAAGAUAAUUAGGACAGUUCUGAUAAGUUAAUGUGUUUAGGUUGUGCUAGGUAAAAAUACGGUAACAAUUUUCUAUAUCCACUAUGAUUAUAGCUAAAUAAAAUAUGCAUGCAUAUAAACAAAGACUAGAAAAGAAUGUGAUAAAGAAAAAGGAGAAAGAUGAUUUUAUGGAGACUUAAAACUUUUCCUUAAAUGUACGUAUAAUAUAUAAAAACCAAGAAUAAAAGUGAUGUCUAAAAGAAACUCAUUUGAGUUAUAGGAGUGGAAAGAGAAUGUCCCAACUGCCCCUGGUAAAAGGUGACACAGCUGGGUGCAGUGGCUCACACCUGUAAUCCCAGCAAUUUCAGAGGCCAAGGCAGCAGGAUCACUUGAGCCCAGGAGUUCGAGACAUGACUGGGCAACAUGGUGAGUCCUUGUCUCUACAAAAACAAAAUUUAAAAAUUAGCCAGGCAUGUUGGCUCACAUUUGUAGUCCCAGCUACUCAGGAGGCUGAGGAGGGAUGAUUGCUUGGGCUGAGGAAAUCAAGGCUGCAGUGAGCCAUGAUUGUGCCACUGCACUCCAGCCUGGGCAACAGAGAAAGGCCCUGUCUCACCAAAAAAAAAAAAAAAAAGAGAUGCAAGUGAUAAUGUUCAUUCAUUUAAUUAGCAUUUAUUGGACUCUAUUGUUCCAGAUCUUUGAAAACAAGUAUCUUGCCCUCACAAACUAGUAGGGAAUAAACAUAUAAAAACAAUCAAUUAAAUCCCAUUGUGUGAAAUGCAUUAAUAGAGAUUAAUACAAGGCAACACUAUCUUUGACAGGAGUUGGGCUUCCUAGAGCAGAUGGUAAGAUAGUCUUAAAGGCUGUGGGAGGUUAGCUAACUGAUGAGGGGUGAGGUAAGGGUGGUCCUUGGAAAAGUAUGUGCUGUGAUGUGAACUUUCCCACCAAAAUUCAUGUUGACAUUUAACUGGCAAUGUAACAGAACUGGAAGGUGGGACCUUGAAGAGGUGAUUAGGUCAUGAGGGCUAUGGUCUCACAAAUGGAUUAAUGCUGUUUUGAGGGAGUGGGUUUGCUAUCACGGGAGUGGGAUACUGAUAAAAGGAUAAGUUUGGUCCUCAUUUUCUCUCUGUCUCUCGUGCAUGCUUCCUUACAAUGUGAUACCUUUGCCAUGGGUUUACUCUCCCAGAUGCAAUGCCAUGCUCUUGGACUUCGCAGUCUCUAGAACUGUGAGCCAAGUAAACCCCUGUUCUUUAUAAGUGAUCCAGUCUGUAGUAACCGGUUAUAGCAGUGAAAAACGGACUCAGACAGUAUGGAAAGAGAUAAGAGAUGAAACUAGAGAGAGAGAGAGAGAGAGAGAGAGCCAGAUCAUGAAACAUCUUGCAUGUCAUUCUAAAUAAUUUGACUUUUCUCCUGAAAUAAAAAGUAGAAGAAGAGGUUUCUUUGAAGUCAUUCAAGAGUAGAGGGGCCCUGUACUAACCCAGGAGCAGUGGUGGUGAGAGGAGAGGACUUUGGAGAAAUAUCUUUGAGAAGAGAAUUAACAGGAUGCUUUGAGGGCUGUGAGGGAAGAGAAUUAAUAGGAUGCUUUAGGGGUUGGUGGGGGGAAAAGAAGCAAGAGGAACAGGGAAGAAUAGAAGAUAACUUCAAAGUCAUCAGUUGCACCAAAGUGUGGAACUAGAAAGUUGGGAAAUUGGACCUCAGAGAACUGGCCAAGUUGGGGCCAAAGGUUUGUUUUUGGACUUGUUCAAUUUGAGCUUCCUUUGGGACAGAUAAAUGAAGAUAUUUACCAGGUUAUUGGAUAACUGUCUGAGGUUUAGGGAAAAAAUGCCAACUGGAAAUAUAGAUCUGAAAGUUACCUGUAUAUUAAUGGAUGGGGUGAAGGGAGGAGGAAAGAGUGGUCAUUUUUUGAGGUUCUACAUUAUUUCUGGUGCUUCACACAUUCUGUCUCAUUUGAACAUCACAACUAGACCCAUGAAUUUUGUGUAUAAGGAACGUUGAGUCUCCAAAACUUAAGAAUUAGGACUCUGGUUGCAAAUGACAAAGCUAGCUUAAUGGUAAAAUUUAUUAUAAGAAUACAGGGGACUCUCGGGGUACCCAAAUUCAGAGAGGAGAGCAGCAUGUUCUCAUUUUUGUUUUGCAAAACUCACUUUUGCAAAGGCUGUGGGUGAGAAGCAGACUGGAGGGGGCAAGAACAGAGACACGGAGGCCAGCUGGGAUCCUUUUCUUUUCUGCUGCCUCUCUUGCAAAUCAAUCUUGAAGCUAAGUUUCAUUGAACUAGACAUAGCUUUGGCUUUAAACCAAGAUAAAAUGAGCGAUCCUGGAGAAAAGAUCUCCUAUACCUUCUGCCAACUUUUGUCUGAUAGUUGCCUAAUUUCAGUGCUAUUUUUUGGGUGUAAAACUGACUCUCUCUAUAUAAACUCAAAACGCAUGUACUACAGAUGGACUUUCAAUGACACUUCGUAGAAUGAUCAUGAGUUUAAGUAGAAAUUGUCUUUUUACUCUUUCAUGUUAAUAGAAUUUUGUUUCAGCCUUGCCUUUGGAUCUGAAAUCCUAGGAAAUACAGUGGAAAGAAUUCUGUGGUGAGAAUCAUUAAACACUGAGUCUGGUUCAGCGCUGCUUCCUGUUACUUGUGUGACCCUGGACAGGCAAACCCAGCCUCCCUGGCUCUGAUCCCUCCUCUGUUAAAUGAGGGAUUUGGAUUGACACGAGUACUUCUCAAACUUUAGUGAAUCUUCUGGGGAUGUUGUUAAAAUGCAGUAUGUAUUCACCAGACCUGGGGUGGGGCCUGAGACUCUGCAUUUCCAACAAGUUCCUAGGUGAUACUGAUGCUGCUGGCUCAGGAUCGCACUCCAAUUAGGCCACCCUCCAAGGUGCCAUCAUGCUGUAAGCUAUAACAACUACCAAAUAAAGAAAAGCAUUAUGUCAACAAUGGAUAACAAUAAAUACUUAUUUUAGAAAAUAAAUAUAGCUUUUUCUUUUUUUGAAACAGGGUCUUACUUUGUCACCUAGGCUGGAGUGCUGUGGCAUGAACACAGCUCACUGCAGCCCCGACCUCCAGGGCUCAGGUAUCCUCCUGCCUCGGUCCCCCAAGUAGCUGGGACUACAGGUGUGCACCACCAUGGUUGGCUAAUUUUUGUGUUUUCUGUAAAGACAGGGUUUUGCCAUGUUGCCCAGGCUGGUACAAAUAUAGCUUUAGUUUUCUGUUUGUAAAAGUAAUGCAUGCUUACGAAAAUUGUUCUUAAAAAAAUCACAUAGGCCGGGCGCGGUGGCUCACGCCUGUAAUCCCAGCACUUUGGGAGGCCGAGGAGGGCGGAUCACGAGGUCAGGAGAUCGAGACUAUCCUGGCUAACACGGUGAAACCCCGUCUCUACUAAAAAUACAAAAAAUUAGCCGGGCGUGGUGGCGGGCGCCUGUAGUCCCAGCUACUGGGGAGGCUGCGGCGGGAGAAUGGCGUGAACCCAGGAGGUGGAGCUUGCAGUGAGCCGAGAUCGCGCCACUGCACUCCAGCCUGGGCGACAGCGAGACUCCGUCUCAAAAAAAAAAAAAAAAAAAAAAAAAAUCACAUACCAUGCAAUGACAGUAAAAAUCAUCCCAAGUUUCAUACCACUUGAACUAAUGUGCUCUAUUGUCACUUGGCUAUGAAGAAUACAAGUGCUAGGUUUCAGUAUUGGCAUCGUAUUACCUUGUCUUUUAAAAUCAGGUUGUGAAACUGGUAUCUUUUUCAAUUUGUUGCCAAUCAGUUAUGCGUUAAUUGAUUUGAAUUCAGUUCCUUCUGUUGUGGUAGAUUUGCUUCUGUAUCGUAUGAUUUCAAGUUGCUCAUUGCCUGAAUUCAGGACAGGGUAGUGGGUGGCUUUCUGGGGCCAUCUCAGGCGGGCUGAAUUGACCUGAAGAUGGCAAUAAGAGAAAAAAGCCAAGUAAAUAUCAAGAACAAUUUUUAGCAUAAAAUUCAGUGUUAAGAUUCAUUGAGAGCUAAUCAAUAGAAACGAAGGUUCUGUAAAUACAUCCAUCUUAUGGGAAUAACUUAGGUCAUAACCAUUGUUGGCAAAGGAGGAAAUUUUUCUUAGUUCCUCUGCACUUUCCCCAAUGAUAUUAAUGUUACACCUCUUUGAUCGUACUUGAAAUGAUUGUAAUAAUAACGAGAGCCGUAAGAGUUUGUUGGUCAUAAAAACAUACAACAUUUUAAGAACUUUAUUGGGUUUUUAUUGACAUAUAUAACUAUUAAAUAUAAGAUUAUAGACCCCAAAUAUCAAAUUAACUUUAGCAUUUACAAUUUUCCUUUGUCUCCUCUAAGCAGCCACAAUUUCCAAUGUAGCACAUAAUGAGGUCAUCAUAGUUGCAAAUCUAUAUCUUCAUAUUGUAUAACUUGAGAACAUUUUUAAACUCAGUGUAUAGGUUUGUGUGGAUGUUGUAUCAAUGUUCACAACACGAGGCAAGUGGAAAUAAAGCAAAAAUACUGUUAAUGUGUAAUAACAUUGUGCUAACAGAAUGGGCAAUUUGUAACAAUGCCAUCAGUGACUCCACUAUCUAGCACAACAGUUAAUACAUAGUGUGUAAGUUCACAUUUCAGAUAAGUGAUAGUUAUCAUUUUAAGUACCAAAACUUAGGUUUAAAGAAGUUUCUGAGAUAUGCAGAAUUCUACCUCUCACUGGGCUUUGAAAAUAUGUUACUCCUCAGGACUCACCGUGUCGUAAGCAUCACUGAUUAUUGUUUAUGUCUGUUCUAAAUUGCAGAAACAGUUUCAGAAACCUAGGUUAUUUGGUUUUUAGUCCUAAUCUUGUUACUGUAAAAGUCACACGUGUUCAUCCAUUGUAGAAAGUUCUCCAAAGUGCAAUCACAUAUAAAGAAGCAAAUAAAAAUCAUCCUCAAUCUCACUCUCCAGAAGUAAUGAUUAUUAACAGUUUCAUGAUCUUCAUCACACUGCAUUAAGUUUCCCAGAGCUGCCAUCACAAAUUAGCACAAACUGUGUGACUUAAAACAACAGAAAUUUAUUCUCUUACAGUUCACGAGGCCAGGAAUCUAAAAUUAAGGCAUCAGCAGGGUUGGGUCCUUCUGGAGGCUCUCAGAGAGUCUGUUCCAUGCGUCUCUCCUGGUUUCUGGUGUUUGCCAGCAAUCUUUGAUUCAUAGACACAUCAUUCCCAUCUCUACCUCCGCCAUCACAUGGCCUUAUUCUAUGUGUGUGUCUUUCUGCAUCCUCUCCUCUUUUUAUAAGGACACCAGGUAUUGGGUCUAUAGCCCAUCCUAAUCCAGAAUGACUUCGUCUCAGCUGAUUAACAUCUGCAAAGACUCUGUUUCUAAACAAAUUCAUAUUGUGAGGUUCUGGGUGAACAUGAAUUUGUGGGGGACACUGGGGGACACUUAUUCAACCCACUACACACACUGUAAUAUAUAUUUAUAGAAUCACGAAAACGGGACCAUAAUUUAUAUAAAGCUUAGUUCCCUUUACACUUAAGAUACCAUGAAUUUCCCUAGGUCUUUCAAACACAGAAUUUUAAUUUUUUGUAGAGUGUUUCAUCAUAUGAAGAUUACAUCAUUUCCAUAGCUAACCUGCUACUUCAAACACUCAGAUGGUUUCCAGACUUUACUAUUAUAAAUGGCUCUGAUGAAUAUACAUGUUCCCAAAUCUUUGAAUUUAUCUCUGCUUAUGUCCUUGGUAUAAAUUAUUCUGAGUCGAAUUAUUGGAUUAAGGGGUAUGAACAUUUUAAAGGCUCAUGAAAAAUCUUCUUUAAUUGAAUUCCAGAGAUUGUAUCAAUUUGCCAUCACCAGCAGAAGAGAGAACCCAUGGCAUUGCAUUCUCUGCACUGCACGUUCUAGCUUUUUGAGUGUUGGACAAGUGACUAGGCAAAGAAAUAACAUCCUUACUUUGUGACUUGUAUUUUUAUGUAAGGUUGCCUCUUUGUUUACGGACCACUUAUAUAUCUUUUUUAGGUUACCAAUUUAUGAUUUGUGUCUCCUUUUCAAUUUUUUUCUCCUCUCUCCAACUGCCAGUAUUUAUUUCUUACCAUCUCACGGAUGAGUAUACUGUCCACCUCCACCCCUUUUAGAGUCCACUGUUAGCUAAGAAACUAUGUAGAUGUAUCCUCCCUCUCCUUUUCCCAUUCUCGAACCACCUCUGAAUCUUGUACAAAUGUCAAUCAUUGCCUCCAUUGUGUCUUAACUGUUUACAUUUCGCUUUCCCUUCUAAGACUUUGAGCACUUUGGGGCCAUUUCCAUGUCUUAUCUGUGUUUUUGUAUCUUCAGCAACUAACAUGGAUGCUCAAUAAACAUACAUUGAACUGAGUUGUUACGUUGUGACCUGGAAAUAUUCACAAUUCCUUGUAUAGAUAGAAAUAGCUAAAUAAGGGCACAUAAGGAUAGACUCUAAAUGGCACUCAAUAAUGUGCAUAGGGCUGGGCGUGGUGACUCCCUGCCUGUAAUCACAGCACUUUGGGAGGUGGAGGUGGAUCACCUGAGGUCAGGAGUUAGAGACCAGCCUGGGCAACAUGGUGAAACUUCGUCUCAACCAAAAACACAAAAAAUCAGCUGGGUGUGGUAGUGUAUGUCUGUAAUCCCAGCUAUUUGGGAGGCUGCAGCACGAGAAUUGCUUGAACACAGGAGGUGGAGGUUGCAGUGAGCUGAGAUCGUAUCAUUGCACUCCAGCCUGGGCAACAGAGCAAGACUCUGUCUCAAAAAAAAAAGCAUAGGAUUUAAUCCAUGAAUUUUGAAUUUCUAUGUUAAAUUUUUAGAAAUAGUAACUUUUUCUCCCAUAUUUCUCAGCUAUAUCUGAGAUAACUGGGACUGAGCAACAUUGUCUAGACAGGCAAAGUGUUAGCAAUAAUAAGUAUAAUAAUAAUUGUAAUGUAAUAAUGGAAUGAGGAUGUUAAAGUACUGAGAUCAGGAUAAAAGUUACAAUUGUCCAAAUUUUAAAUUUCCUAUCAUUUCCACUGAAAUCACUGACUGUACUUAUAACAUUAUCAGGAAUUUAUGCAAUUUGUAGGUUUUGAAAUAAAUUACCAUUCAGAAUUCAACCGUGAAAAACAGUGUAACUCUACUUGAAAAACACUUUGAAAAACUCAAGUUUCCACCAAAUCUAGAAGCACAUGGGUCGUAAAACAUAGUUCGAAAAGUUACGAGAGAUGAUGACUACAAGGAACUUUUUAUAAAAAUCUUUUAUAAGCAUUACUCUGUGGUCAAAUUUAUUUUCACAUGGAUAUUAAAACAAGUUAUUGCUAC
rnacentral:lncRNA from 1 species